rnacentral:ncRNA from 1 species
UGUUAAACUAUGAAAGAGAGAGUAAGUAUAAAGUUCUUAACAGGGAUAAAAAGUCUUUGACUGGAAGCUUUUUUUAAAAACUUUAUAUUGAAGUUCACUCUGGAGUUCUAGUUGUGAAGUUUAAGUAGCAAUUAGCGGUUAGUUUUCCGAUAAAAAAUAAGUGGGUAUUUUAUUAUAUGCCAACUAGGGUGGUACCGCGGAUAGAAGUUCGUCCCUUUA